UAAACGAUGUCGACUUGGAGGUUGUGCCCUUGAGGCGUGGCUUCCGGAGCUGACGCGUUAAGUCGACCGCCUGGGGAGUACGGCCGCAAGGUUAAAACUCAAAUGAAUUGACGGGGGCCCGCACAAGCGGUGGAGCAUGUGGUUUAAUUCGAUGCAACGCGAAGAACCUUACCUGGUCUUGACAUCCACGGAAGUUUUCAGAGAUGAGAAUGUGCCUUCGGGAACCGUGAGACAGGUGCUGCAUGGCUGUCGUCAGCUCGUGUUGUGAAAUGUUGGGUUAAGUCCCGCAACGAGCGCAACCCUUAUCCUUUGUUGCCAGCGGUCCGGCCGGGAACUCAAAGGAGACUGCCAGUGAUAAACUGGAGGAAGGUGGGGAUGACGUCAAGUCAUCAUGGCCCUUACGACCAGGGCUACACACGUGCUACAAUGGCGCAUACAAAGAGAAGCGACCUCGCGAGAGCAAGCGGACCUCAUAAAGUGCGUCGUAGUCCGGAUUGGAGUCUGCAACUCGACUCCAUGAAGUCGGAAUCGCCAGUAAUCGUGGAUCAGAAUGCCACGGU
rnacentral:rRNA from 1 species